rnacentral:misc_RNA from 1 species
GAGAGAGAGAGAGAGAGAAUUUGUAGAUAGCCAAUAAACAUUAUCAUUUUGUAUUUAUCAUAACUUAUAAUACUCAUUUAAAUAAUCACAUUAAUCACUUAAACUUUGGCAAGUUAAUUUUUUUUAAUUAAAAAUAAAAAGAAGAAAAUCGCAUGAGAGCUGUUGAUAGAAGAUUUGAAGCCUUAUCCCUACCAGAUUUUAAACUGACAAACCGUAUGGUAUGAUAUGAUAGCUGAUGCAUCAAUUAAGUGUACGCUUGGUUGCCUUUGCCCUUUCUUUUCUUUGUACCACAUAAUUACCAGUU